rnacentral:rRNA from 1 species
CCUACGGGAGGCUGCAGUGAGGAAUAUUGGUCAAUGGACGAGAGUCUGAACCAGCCAAGUAGCGUGAAGGAUGACUGCCCUAUAGGUUGUAAACUUCUUUUAUAUGGGAAUAAAACGUUCCACGUGUGGGAUUUUGUAUGUACCAUAUGAAUAAGGAUCGGCUAACUCCGUGCCAGCAGCCGCGGUAAUACGGAGGAUCCGAGCGUUAUCCGGAUUUAUUGGGUUUAAAGGGAGCGUAGGUGGAUUGUUAAGUCAGUUGUGAAAGUUUGCGGCUCAACCGUAAAAUUGCAGUUGAAACUGGCAGUCUUGAGUACAGUAGAGGUGGGCGGAAUUCGUGGUGUAGCGGUGAAAUGCUUAGAUAUCACGAAGAACUCCGAUUGCGAAGGCAGUUCACUGGACUGCAACUGACACUGAGGCUCGAAAGUGUGGGUAUCAAACAGGAUUAGAUACCCUUGUAGUC